CCUACGGGAGGCAGCAGUAAGGAAUCUUGCGCAAUGGGCGAAAGCCUGACGCAGCGACGCCGCGUGGGCGAUGAAGGCCUUCGGGUUGUAAAGCCCUUUUCUGGGGGACGAGGAAGGACGGUACCCCAGGAAUAAGUCACGGCUAACUACGUGCCAGCAGCCGCGGUAAAACGUAGGUGGCAAGCGUUAUCCGGAUUUAUUGGGCGUAAAGAGCGCGUAGGCGGCUUAUCAAGUCAGGUGUGAAAUCCUCAGGCUUAACCUGAGAAUUGCACUUGAAACUGAUAGGCUUGAGUCCAGUAGAGGAGAGUGGAAUUCCCGGUGUAGCGGUAAAAUGCGCAGAGAUCGGGAAGAACACCAGUGGCGAAGGCGGCUCUCUGGUCUGAGACUGACGCUGAGGCGCGAAAGCUAGGGGAGCGAACAGGAUUAGAUCCCCCUGUAGU
rnacentral:rRNA from 1 species